ACUCAAAGGAAUUGACGGGGGCCCGCACAAGCGGCGGAGCAUGUUGCUUAAUUCGAUGCAACGCGAAAAACCUCACCUGGGCUGAACUACGUAGGAAAAGCCACAGAGAUGUGGUGUCCUUCGGGGCCUACGAUAGGUGGUGCAUGGCUGUCGUCAGCUCGUGUCGUGAGAUGUUGGGUUAAGUCCCGCAACGAGCGCAACCCUUGUCCUGUGUUGCCAGCGGAUUAUGCCGGGGACUCACAGGAGACUGCCGGGGUCAACUCGGAGGAAGGUGGGGACGACGUCAAGUCAUCAUGCCCCUUACGUCCAGGGCUGCAAACAUGCUACAAUGGCUGGUACAACGGGCUGCGAAUUCGCGAGGAUAAGCUAAUCCCUUAAAGCCAGUCUCAGUUCGGAUCGGAGUCUGCAACUCGACUCCGUGAAGCUGGAGUCGCUAGUAAUCCCGGAUCAGCAUUGCCGGGGUGAAUACGUUCCCGGGCCUUGCACACACCGCCCGU
rnacentral:rRNA from 1 species